CAGCCACAUCAUGUUGAAACAUUGUUUCCCCAUACGAUUACAGAAGUUAAGCAACUUUGAGCCUGGUCAGUACCUAGAUGCGUGACCACUUGGGAAUAUCAGAUGAUGUAAG